rnacentral:pre_miRNA from 10 species
GUGGAAUUGCUGGGUCAUAUGGUAGCUCCAUGUUUAUCUUUUUGAGGAACUAUCACACUGUUUUCUGAACAGUAUUUUGGAAACCAUUUGUACCAUUUUACAUUCCCACUGGUAAUAUACGAGUGUUCCAGUUUCUCCACAGCCUCUAUAACCUUUAUUAUUAAUCAUCAUUUUAAUUAUAGCAAUCUUAAUAGUUGUGAAGUAGUAUCUCAUUGCAUUUUUUUCUUUUUUUUCUUUUUGAAAGUAAAUUCUACUUGAAGCUAAAAUCAUAUAAAGAGAUUUUAUAAGGAAGAAACACAAAGCAGCAACCUGUAAAUUUCAGCCUAAAGAAAUUCAAAUGCACAACCGUGAACUUUGGUACUGAUAGACAUAAGAGAGGAAAGUGACCCACAGAGCCUGCAGCACAACUUAAGGAAUCUGUUUUGCAAGGAAACACAUUUCCCAGGUAGGGUGCCAACUCUGUGGUUAUAAGAAGGCAGCUCUCCAUCAGCACAGAAAGAUGGACAUCUUGCAACUAAACCAUAACAGAGGUGAGGGAGUGGGACACUUAUUCACAGCUGAACAUCUUUUGCAUAAAACAUGCUGGGCAUAAUUCCCUGGGUCUUGCUCUCACCUCCGUGGCUUUUUUUUUUUUUUUUUUUUUCUGGAGUCUCACUCUGUCGCCCAGGCUGGAGUGUAGUGGCGCAAUCUCGGCUCAUUGCAACCUCCACCUCCCAGGUUCAAGCAAUUCUCCACCUCAGCCUCCUGAGUAGCUGAGAUUAUAAGCACCUGCCAUCGCGCCUGGCUAAUUUUUGUAUUUUUAGUAGAGAUGGGGUUUCACCAUCUCGGCCAGGCUGGUCUUGAACUCCUGACCUGGUGAUCCACCUGCCUCAGCCUCCCAAAGUGCUGGGAUUACAGGCGUGAGCCACUGAGCCCAGCCCCUCUGUGUGGUUUUGAUCUACAUUUUCCAAUUGAGUUUUAACUUUAUAUUAAUUUAAUUUUUUAUCUUAUAAUUUUUAACUUAGAAUUUUACUUUAUCAUUCUCAUGGUGCUGUGAAAAUCUCAAUUCCUGAUAUCAUUAAUAAAUCACUUAUUUUUUCUAUGCUAUAAAGGAUCUGAUUUCAAUACCUUGCUUUUUUAUGGUAUAACAGAUUUUAAAACCCUUUAAAAAUAUUUUCUCUUAGAAUUUGGUCUUUAGAUUUGUCCUCCUUUGUAGAGAGAACACUCUUUUCAACAGGCUGGAUUUGGAAAAGAGAAAAAGAGAAUUUACUGAAACAGAAACACGGGAAGGAUAAUGGUAUGUCUUGGUAAGUUUUAAACAAAACAAAAAAAGAAAACCUUUUUUUUCCUCCUGUGUAAAAAGGUAAUACGUGUCACUGCAGAAUAUUUGGAAAAUAUAAUAAAAGAGAAAAUUGAAAUCAUGUGUUUUCUUACCACCCAGAGAUAGCCAUGAUUAAUGUUUUGGUGCAUAUCCAUCCAGAGUUUUUUUUUUAAAUCUAAGGAGAUCACCAAUACCAGUCCAACAGGGCAAGCAGCGUCUUACCAGCAGAGAUCAUGGUAUUCUGGAAAAUGUAGGAGUUAAAAACACUUUUCACUUUUCAGGAUUCCUGCCAACAUUCAGGGUCUAGCUUUGAGAAGGAAGGCAGGUAGGAAGUAGACAAAGGUUCAGGGUUCUCAGCCUGCAGAUUGAGUUUCAGGAAGGGUUCCAGAUCAGGUUGUCAAUGAAGAUAUAGGUGACAGGACGGAAGGUUCCUGGGUCUGGGGAAAGUUACCUGUUGCCAAGCUCUGUAAGAAUACAGAGUGGGGUGAUGGCUACUGUGUGCUUCCUUUUCCUGUUCGGACUAUCUCAGGAAAGGAAGUAGACUUGGUUUCUGCAGAUCGAGUGCUACAGAGGCUCCAACCUUGGGUUCUGAGGAAGAGAAAGGCAGGGAACCAAGACAAAGACUAACAAUGUGCAGCUUGAAAGUCUAGCUGCAACUUGAGAAGUUGGAAAUAAGGAGAUAAGUAUUCUUUGGCUCAAAUGAAGGGCAGAAGUCAGUCUCCCCUCUGAUCUGCAGUCUGGAUCUCGUAUCUGUGAGUUGAAUCUCUGUUGCAUGAGGAACAAGUGCAGAUUGUGCAACAGAGGGCCCCCUGUGUGCAUCUGACAGGAGAAGUUUGUUCCGAGUGUCAUAGUGUUGUUUUCAUCUUGAUAGAC